AUGGUUAUAGUCACAACUCGGAUUCCAGGGGUAGCAAACAUGGUCCGGACAGUUGACCAUUCUAUAGAAAUGGAACAUCUAGGUCCUGAAGAUAUUUUGUCUUUCUUUGAAGUAUGUGUAUUUGGGGACCAACAACAACCAUGGCAAGAUCAUCCUGAAUUAGAAGAUGUUGGGCACAAAAUAGUGGAUAAAUUGAAGGGUUUCCCUCUUGCUGCAAAAACUGUGGGUAGAUUGCUCAGAAACCAGCUCACAUUUGACCAUUGGACAAGAAUUUUGGAAAGUAAAGAGUGGGAGUCACAAGCUAGCGAUAAUGACAUUAUGCCAGCCCUCAAGCUUAGCUAUGAUUAUCUCCCUUUCCAUCUGCAACAGUGUCUUUCCUACUGUGCAUUGUUUCCUGAAGAUUAUGAAUUUCAUGCAGAAGAGUUGGUUCAUCUGUGGAUUGGACUUGGUAUUUUACACUCUGAUGAUCAGAAGAAAAGAAUUGAAGAUGUUGGAUUGUGUUACUUAACUGACUUGGUUAAUCAGGGGUUUUUCAAAAAGAAUGUAUCAAGCUUUGGCAGUCCUUGUUACACCAUCCAUGAUCUAUUACUUGAGUUGGUAGUGAAGGUCUCAUCAUAUGAGUGCCUUAGCAUAUCCAGCUCUAAUGUGAUGUCCAUACAAAUUCCCCCAUAUGUACGUCAUUUGUCUAUCAUUGUAGAUGAUGCAGACGUCAAGGACACAAUGACUUUUGAAAACUACAAGAGGGGUUUGCAGGCAUUGGAAAAAAGAUUUGAAGUUCAAAACCUACACACCUUGAUGUUAUUUGGAGAAUACCAUGCAAAUUUUUCAAGGGUUUUUCAUGGUUUGUUUUUGGAAGCUAGGGCCCUUCGUACUGUCUUUUUGUCUGGAGCAUCAUAUAAUGUGGAGGAUGUGUUUCCCAACUUUUUAAAGCUUGUUCAUCUUUGCUACUUAAGAAUCAAGUCAGCUGGUCUUGAUGAUGACGAAGGCUUGUGCAUAUCUAGUGUGUUGUGCAGAUUUUAUCAUUUGGAAGUCAUUGAUCUACAAGGAUGGAAGGGCCGCUUCAGUUCAACAAGAUAUAUGAGCAACCUUGUAAAAUUGCGCCAUUUCAUUGUGCCCCGAGAAGAACUUCACUCUGACAUAUUUGAGGUGGGAAGACUAAAAUUCAUCAAUGAGUUAAGGGCAUUUAGAGUGACACAAGAAGAUAACGUGUUUGAACUGAGUCAACUAGGGAAACUGGCAAAUAUUGGAGGAUUACUUGGUAUUUACAAUCUUGAAAAGGUGCAUUCAGAAGAAGAAGCAACUGAAUCAAAACUGAUAAACAAAAGCCACAUGAAAGAGCUAAUACUAGGAUGGGAUGUUCGGCGAUCUAACAGGGAUCCUAAAUUUGAAGAAAAUAUCCUUGAAAGUCUUGUACCACACAUCAAUCUUCAAUUACCGAAAAAGGCUUUCGCCCCGCUUUAUAGAUAA
rnacentral:rRNA from 1 species